ACGCUCGACACCUACGGGAGCAGCAGUUGGGAAUAUUGGACAAUGGAGGAAACUCUGAUCCAGUGACGCCGCGUGAAGGAAGAAGGUCUUCGGAUUGUAAACUUAUUUUGUCAGGGAAGAAAAAAUGACUGUACCUGAAGAAAAAGCACCGGCUAACUACGUGCUAGCAGCCGCGGUAAUCUGAGCGGGCUGGCAAGGC
rnacentral:rRNA from 1 species